UACGUAGGGUGCGAGCGUUGUCCGGAAUUACUGGGCGUAAAGAGCUCGUAGGUGGUUUGUCGCGUUGUUCGUGAAAACCGGGGGCUUAACCCCUCGGCGUGCGGGCGAUACGGGCAGACUUGAGUACUGCAGGGGAGACUGGAAUUCCUGGUGUAGCGGUGGAAUGCGCAGAUAUCAGGAGGAACACCGGUGGCGAAGGCGGGUCUCUGGGCAGUAACUGACGCUGAGGAGCGAAAGCGUGGGGGAGCGAACAGG
rnacentral:rRNA from 1 species